GAUCUCACAAGCAAUGCGUAUGAAGUCGUACGCAACACUAAUACCGAAUUGCGUAUGAAUUCAUACGCAAAAUCAGCUAGUGACACAUGCGCAGUAGCCUACAUAUCCGCUCAAUCAAGCAACAUGGCCACGCACGGCCACCUGUCAAAAUCAUUUUUUUAUUUCAUAAAUAAGUUUCGUUACAAUAAAUAAUGGUUUGGUGUAGGCUAAUUAAUGAAAUUUCCGUUUGAUAGCAGUACUUAAAAUUUGAUAAUUAGGUAACCUUUUGGUCACGAUGCUAAAGGUUUACGUUUGUAAUACAUAAAAAAAAAAAUCCGUUUUUUUUAGUUUAGACCCAUGUUUUAUUUUCUUUUUAAAACUGAGAGCCACUAAUAUAUCCAGAAUUUGUUUAGUUGGAGGACGAUCAAUAUAAAGAUUUUAAAUAGCCUUUUUAUAACAUCAUUAAAUAUCCCUUCGUGGCGAAAGUCUAGCUACUUAAACUUUGGAAAUGUGAAGUUCUUCCUGAUGUCAUUAUUUUGCGACUCUGCCAACUUGCUGCCUAUGCUUGCUCCCCAUAUUGAUAAAAGAAACCUCUCUGCUCCGUGUUGUCAAAAGGGAUUGUGGGCAAGACAAGUCAAGAGGAAGACGUGCGGGUUGAAACCAAGCCUCAACGAGAUCGACGGAUCUACUCUUCUUAUUAGUGAACUCAAACUUCUUUCAUUUACUUUUAGUAGGCCUACCAUCUCCUGUGGAUGUGCUACCCUUCCUGAGGAUUCUGUCAUUCCACAUCUACUGAUUCCUCAAGAUUAAUUUUGGCUGUGCUUGCGUAACCCUUUGUGAACACACAGUGGGACAGUGCUAGUCGGCUGCAGGGCCAGCUGAGCUCAAUGGGGUGCACCAUCGGGGAGCUGGUGGGCCUCUUGGUCAUUCGCCCGGCCCAUCAUGCCGUUUUCUCGCUUGACCCAACCUGCUACAGCUGCUCCCUGCAUCAGUUCAGCUCACAGCUCAAUCAGCAUUCCGCUGAGCUACAGGUACAUACACGCUCGUGGUCUGUCACUCCAGUGGGUCUUUAGUGCCAGAGCAGACUACAGCAGAGCUGCCAAGUACAUCCAGAACAGCAACAUUGAUGAUGAGAGAGUGACCUGCCUCCUCAACACUCGCAUCAUGAGGUAGACUUACCAUCUCCUGCGGAUGUGCUACCCUUCCUGAGGAUUCUGUCAUUCCACAUCUACUGAUUCCUCAAGAUGAAUUUUGAUAGCAGCAAGAGGACAUGGACGAUCAUCCAUGUGGAAAUAUCAUUGACCUCUCCCCUUCACCUAGAAUCCUCCAUGGUCUCCUGCUUCCAACAAUCAUUGACACAUCUGUGAAAUGAAACCAGACCGAGGGGACAUUUUUCAACUCCAUCAGCUGAUUUGGACCUGAGCAAACAACCAAGAAUUGGAGCUUUGCAGUAAUCUCUGAACAAUCUGCACAGCUAUUGACAGACACUCAUCUUA